rnacentral:lncRNA from 1 species
GGGCUGGGGAAGGAUCAGGGCCAGGACCAGGAGAGAGACAGUGACCCCUCUCCAGGAACUCCCAGGGUCUACAGCACAGACCAGUACGAGCUCCACUUGUCCCUGGUUUGGAGCCUAAGCCCCACUUCAUCUCCAGCUUUAUCUCUCCAAGCUCUCUGGGCAGCAAGUCUGGAUCGAUUCUGCAGGUCAUGGGUCACCUCCACCACACCCUUGGGCAAGGAGAUGGCAACAGCCUUCUUCUGCAUCUUCCCCAUCCAGAUCUUCAGCUGCUCUUUGGUUAGCAG